GCCUGCAUGGCGCAGUUGGGAGCGCGGCUGGCUGGCAAAGCCAGAGGUCGCAGGUUCGAGUCCUGCCGGAGGUG